rnacentral:rRNA from 1 species
GGGGUGGGGGGCAAGCGUUGUUCGGGAAUUACUGGGCGUAAAGGGCGUGUAGGCGGUCCUGCAAGUCUUUCGUGAAAUCCCACAGCUCAACUGUGGAACUGCGAGGGAAACUGCAGGACCCUGAGUACCGGGAGAGGAGAGUGGAAUUCCCAGUGUAGCGGUGAAAUGCGUAGAUAUUGGAGGAACACCGGUGGCGAAGGCGGCUCUCUGGACCGGUACUGACGCUGAGGCGCGAAAGGCUAGGGGAGCAAACGGGAUUAGAUACCCCGGUAGUCCUAGCCUUAAACGAUGAGCACUUGGUGUGGCGGGUAUCGACCCCUGCCGUGCCGAAGCUAACGCAUUAAGUGCUCCGCCGUGGGGAGUACGGUCGCAAGGCUG